UGCUAUAAAGCUCGCUUGAGAUGAUGUAUGAAAAAACGUGCUGGAAACAAGGUCUGAAACAUUGUAAAAAUGUGAGUUUCAGGUAUGAUAUCGACAUAGAGAGGCAUUAACAAAAAGGGACAUGUGGAACCACCUUGCAAAUCAAAUGAAUAAAUGAACGUGUGAUUGACAUCACGCAAAAAGAAAGAGAAGAGAAUUGCCUUCAGGCUAACCUGCCCUUUUAAACACACAAGGAACAGCGUCUUAGCCCUCUCCUUCCCCACCCAAACCACCUCCUCUGGAAAUAAACACAUCGCCAACGCCAGAGCUGCUGAACGACCAGAAUUACAGGACAAUCAGCAGCAGGAAAUGAUAUUGCAAAUACAGCUGCGGGCGUGAUGCCGGCCUUGUCCAAUUCCUCUUACAAAACUUCCUCUUACAAAUAUCCUGUCAUAGCUGUGUGGUGACACCAUUCGCCAGAAUAUCUCAUAAGGGACAAAAUAGCGAGCCCCUGGCUCUCAUUAUAAUUAAUUGGCUAUAAUUGAAGCUUUAAACAAUCGGGAUCAUGAUGUAAUUCCAACACAGGCUUCCUUUGAUGAAAUCUUCCCUGGGCUGCAGGAAAUACCUCAGUGGGGAAGGAUGCAUGUACCAGUCACACAAGAUAGACCGAAAUGACCAGUUCUAGUUUCUGCACCCAUCUGCAGGCUCUUCUGCUGUAGCCCUGUUCUAAAGAGAACUCAGUUAAAAGCUGAUUUCCAUGAAAAAUAAGCACAAAUCUUUCAAGAAGCACACAGUACAUUAUCACUCAGGAUGUAAAGCCACGCUUUCAGGAUUGAGGGCUCUCUCCCUGCGAUUUCUUCAGAUCUGGUGUUUGGGAUCCUUGGUGACUAUCAACACUGAUUGCUCUUUUUUUCCCCUCUCCUUUCUUUCCAACCAGAAGUCAGGUUGUGAAAAUAUUCUCACCAUUAUAGGAGUGAGACUGCCUAGGUUUGCAUCCCAGCUUGGCCACUCCAUUGCUGCUUUACUUGCAAGGUGAUCUCAUCUCUCUAAGUGGAAGUCUUCAUCCUCAGAAUGGGGACCAUUGAGGUCUCUGAGCUCAAGCUAUCCUUGAACUCUAUGAAGACGUACAAUCUGUGGAUCCGACUGAGCCUUUGCUGCCCCUCAACCCCACACACCUCUCCUUUCCCCUUUCCCCUGUCUAAUUCCGCAACCAGUCGGUGUCACCACUCCCUUGCACAGACCCUCAGCCUCCUUUUCCCUCCUUCUUUUCUCUUGGCAACACCAUAACCCUGGUUAAGUCCAGUGUGCCACCAACUUUGUGCUUGCAGCCGGGCCACCGAAUGUGGCUGGACAGGAGCAUACCCACACUAACUGGAAUCCCUUUAAAUCCAUGAUUCUGAGCCUCGAGUGAGUUCCUAAUGCCGCUCGGUAAGCCCACGCCCUGCCCUGCCCAGCCCACUCACUCUCCCACGAAGAAAAUGGAGGCAAGCAGGCAAGAAAUUACCUGCGUUUAUCCUGUGUUCAUCCACUUUCCUGAAUCCACGCCCUUCCCUUCUGUGACUGUGAGUGAACCGUCCAUGCUGCAGCUAAGCCGUCUGCUCCACCUGUGCAGGGAGACACAAAUGCCAGACCCUCUUAUCUCUGUGGAACUGGCUCCAGCAGUGUUCUCCUUCCUCUGUUCGUCAUCCAUCUCCCCCUUUCUACUGGAUCCUUCCCACCCACACAUGUUCUCUCAGCUCCCAUAUCCACCAAAGCCCCCACCGACCCCACUUUUCUCUCCAGCCACUGCCCCAUUUCACAAACCCACUUUUUAGCAAAACUCCUUGAACGAGUUGUCAUUAUCCGCCAUCUACAGUUCAAUCCCAAUUCUUUCUUAAACCCACUCCAUUUCAGCCCUGAGCUCACCACCUUUCAAGGUUUCCCGUGCGUUUUAAAGGAUCAGCCCAGCGAUCAGUUCUCAGCCAUCCUUUUAGUUUGCCUACAGCAGCCUUUGACAUGAGGGAGAACUUGCUUCUCUUUGAGAGUCUGUCUUCACUUGAUGUUCCCGUUGCUAGUACAGUGUAACAGAUUAUCUCGAAAUUUAAAAGCUUACAACAAUGCACACAAUUAUUUUUCUCAGGAAUCUGCACACUGGACAGGGCUUGGUGGGGACAACUGGUUUCUAUUUCACUCCGUAUCAGCUGGGGGGCCUCAGCGGCCAAGGGCUGGAAUCGGCUGAGGUUCCUUCUCUCACGUGCCUGGUGCCCGGGCGGGGAAGACACUGAGGGGCUGGUGCGCUUGGGGUGCUCGGGAGUCUCUCUGUCUCUGUUUCUCUCUGUCUGUGGUCUCCCCAGCAUUGCAGCAUCCCCAGUAGAGUAGACAGUUUCUUUACAUCCUUGGACCUUGCAAGUAUCCCAAGAGAGGGGGCCAGGCAAAAACUGUAUCACCUUGCCUUUUACCAUCGAGCCUUGGGAGUCACAGUUUCAUGCCCCACCUCCCAAUAGAGCGGUAUUAGCAGCACGUUGUAAAGGGAGGUAGUGCCGGGGCCAUCUUUAAAAAUGACACUGCACCGCACUUGGCUCCUAGGACCCUACAUGCUCCCGGGCCUCCUCCUGUCUCAGCGGCCGCUCCUCCUCACCCAGGUCCUCUUGUUCCUCUGCAUCAUCUCCACUCCUUAUACUUGGAGACCCCAGAGCUCUGUGCUUGGAUGUCUUCAUUUUUUUAUUUUCUUCUCUUUCUUGGUGAUCUCGAAGAGUCUCAUGGCUUUCCAUAUUAACUAUAUUGUAACAACUCAAAUUAAAAAAAAAUCGUAUUGAA